GAUCAUAGCUCAGGAUGAACGCUGGCGGCGUGCAUAACGCAUUCAAGUCGAACGGACGACUCGGAGCUUGCUCCGGGAAGUUAGUGGCGGACGGGUGAGUAACGCGUGAGCAACCUGCCUGUGUGAGCGGAAUAACGUCCGGAAACAGACGCUAAUACCGCAUGACUCACGGACUUCGCAUGGAGACCGUGGCAAAGAUUUAUCGCACACAGAUGGGCUCGCGUCCGA
rnacentral:rRNA from 1 species